rnacentral:rRNA from 1 species
AUUGAACGCUGGCGGCAGGCCUAACACAUGCAAGUCGAGCGGAUGAAGGGAGCUUGCUCCUGGAUUCAGCGGCGGACGGGUGGGUAAUGACUAGGAAUCUGCCUGGUCGUGGGGGAUAACGUCAGGAAACGGGAGCUAAUACCGCAUACGUCCUGAGGGAGUAAGUGGGGGCUCUUCGGACCUCACGCUAUUUGAUGAGCUUAGGUCGGAUUAGCCAGUUGGUGGGGUAAAGGCUUACCAAGCCGACGACCCGUAACUGGUCGGAGAGGAUGACCAGUCAACCUGGAACGAAGACACGCCCCGGCUCCCUAGGGGGGGCGCCAUAGGGGAAUAUUGGACAUGGGGCGAAGUCUUGAUCCAGACAUGCCGCGUGUGUGAAGAAGGUCUUCGGAUUGUAAAGCACUUUAAGUUGGGAGGAAGAGUAGUAGGUUAAUACCUUGAUGUUGUGACGUUACCAACAGAGAAAGGACCGGCUAACUUCGUG